AACCUCCUUCCCUGGUGAAUUUUGCUGGGUACUGCCAGUAAGGGGGACAGAGUGAAGUACUUCUUUUGGAAUACAUGAAAAAGCUUUGCAAAGAGGUGGCAAAGGUUACUUAUUUUAAACAUUUGGAACUUGGCAACAAGCAGGGUGGAACAAACAUACUGACUAGACAUAUGCUAUAGAAUAUUCCGUAAACUCUCUCUGUCUGUAGUGGCUUACACAGAAAGCUGAACAUAUGGCAGGCUUGGUUUGGCUUUUUCUCUGGAAUCAUCUGUCAGGACAUGAGCUGCCACCUAAUUACCCACUCACAUUCCACUCUGCGUUUUCCAUUUUUGGUCUGAUUUCUCAAAGGCUUCAAACACUCAUUUUUUAAAAUUAAUUUUUAAAAAAUUAACGUUAUCCAACCUACAAAAGCAUUGAGGGUGUUUCUGGGAGACACUUUCAAAGGGCAAGGAAUGUGACUCCAUAUCCUGGCUCCUGGAUGCUACCUCCUAUCAAGGCGAUGUGUGUCUUAGAGAGGGCCUGAUCAGCUUUGCAGUUACUUCUAGAAGACUUUGAGUGGACCCUCUGAGGAACCACUCUCCAGUGGUGAUACUGAGACUGUGAAUGAAGGUUUCAAGCCACUAGGAAUUUACAGACCUAUUCUAGGAGGCAGGAGAAGCCACUGACUGGGGCAGCUGGGAACUUCCCAGGUGACAUUGGGAAUAGCAUGGAACAGCACCAAGAGGGGCCCUGGUGACCUGAAGGCCUCUGGCCUGAGCUGCCUCCCCAGCCUGACUGACCGUAAGGGAGAGGAGGGUGCCGCUAAUGAUCUGCUCAUAACCAAGAGGAAAUCUACAGGACAGAUCCCGCAAGCCCGAUGUCAGCGUGCUGUCACACCUGGGAAAGCUACCUUGGAUUCAGGACAGGAAGUGUGGAGAAGGUGCAGGAGCCAGGGUCCUUCCAGUGAGGAUGUACGCGGUGCGGUUCCCUAGCCUGCGACGGUCCUGCCCUCCCCGCGUGCACCCGUCAGCCUGUGCGCCUCCUUCAUUCAGCUCAAGUGCCUAACUAGAGGCACAGCAAGAGAUAAAUACAGACUUCUCAGUUGCUUCCAAAAUCUCAGGUAUUCACCUGGACCAACGAGAGUAAUUCUGUAUUGGGGGAAAUAAUUUUCUCAGCAGGCUCAUGCAGCUACAUACCCAGAAGGUGCUAGAGAUUGGUUAAAACCGUGGAUUUAGAGUCGCUCAGACGUGAGUUAAAAUCCUG
rnacentral:lncRNA from 1 species